rnacentral:rRNA from 1 species
CCUACGGGUCGCACCAGUGGGGAAUAUUGGACAAUGGGCGAAAGCCUGAUCCAGCAAUGCCGCGUGUGUGGAGAAGGUCCUCGGAUUGUAAAGCACUUUCGACGGGGACGAUGUUGACGGUACCCGUAGAAGAAGCCCCGGCUAACUUCGUGCCAGCAGCCGCGGUAAGACGGGGGGGGCAAGUGUUCUUCGGAAUGACUGGGCGUAAAGGGCACGUAGGCGGUGAAUCGGGUUGAAUGUGAAAGUCGCCAAAAACUGGCGGAAGACUCUCGAAACCAAUUCACUUGAGUGAGACAGAGGAGAGUGGAAUUUCGUGUGUAGGGGUGAAAUCCGGAGAUCUACGAAGGAACGCCAAAAGCGAAGGCAGCUCUCUGGGUCCCUACCGACGCUGGAGUGCGAAAGCAUGGGGAGCGAACGGGAUUAGAUACCCUCGUAGUC